CGCGCACGCCACGCGCGCACGGACGGACGGAGACGGCGCGAGACGCAGCGCGAGCGGAGCCGCCAGGGCGCGCGAGACGGGAACCGCCGCCGCCGGGGCCGCCCAGCCCUGCCGAGGAGAGACAGGCGGGGCCGCCCCUCCCGCCGCGCGCGCGGCUCCCUUCCCCCCUCCCCCGCCCUUCCCCGCGCCGGAUGCCGCCGCAGGGGGGCCGCCCCGCGCCGGGCCCCAACCGGCCGAGCCCGGCCCGGUCCGGCGCGGCAAACGGGACGCGCCGAGCCUUCUCCCAGUCCCGGCCCUCACCCCCUCGCCCCCUCCCCGCGCGGCCUCCCCCCCCCCCCACCCCCCUCUUCCCGGCGCGGUGCGGCCCAUCCCCCCGGGCCGUGCCCCGGAUGCAGCCGCUCGGCCCGGCUCGGCCCCGGGGGUUUGCCAGGCGGUCGAGCAGCGGCCCCUCGCCCCGCCGGCGCGCGGCCGGGCCCUCGCACACAAUGCGGCCCGGGCCCGACGGACCGCGCCGCGCCCCCGCCCGCUCCUCCGCUUCGCCUCAGCGCGGGCCCGGCCGUCCCGGUACGCGGGGCCGGGCACACGUGCGGGCGGUCCACGCGCGGCGCCGCGGGCGCUGCUCACCUGGGGGCGCGGGCCGCCGAGGCGCCUGGUGCCGCGCGCGCCGCCGCCGUCUCCGCGCCCAGCAGCAGCAGCAACAACGGAGUCAGCGCGGCGGCGGCGGCGGCGGCUUUUCCUGUCCGGUUACGUUAGGGUCACAUGACCGAGAGCGGAGCACAGAGGCUGCAGCGAGGAGCCCCCGCCGGGGGGGAGGGGAGGCGGCGAGCGCUGUGGCGGCGGCGCCGGCGCCAGCAGCCGCCACCCACCCCCCCCCCCCUCUCCGCUCCUCCCUCCCUCCCUCCGCCCGCGCCGCCGGGCAACGGCCCCGCCGCUGGGGGCUGCCGGUGCGCGGGGCCGGGUUCGCGGCCCCUUUAAAACUCCCGGGGGGGAGCGCAGCGCGGAGGGGCGGGGGGCGGUGCGGUCCCCCGCCACCCCGCUCUGCUCGCUGCCGGGCGGGGGCGGCUCCGCGCUGUGGCGCGGCCUCAACGGCCUUAACGGCCGCGAGAAGCGGCAGCCACAGGUGCGUCCCGUGGGGCCGCGGCCUUCCUUGCGCGCCUCGCAGCGGGCCCGUUCUGCGGGAGGUGGCGGGCCGGGCCGAGGCCUCGUCGCCUUGACGCCCGCGAUGCGCCGUGCUGCGCUGCGGAGCCCGGGCGGCAGCGGGCGGUGCUGAGGCCGGGUCCCUGCGGGCCGCGGCGUGCGGCGGAGCCCCGCUCGGGGCCGGGUGCGGGGCUGGCGGGGCAGCGUGCCGCUUGGAAGCUCGGUGGGAGGCGUUUGGCCAGCAGCGGAGCGUUAGUUUUUAAUUAUUUUCACUUCUUAGGUCGUUCAACCGUUUCAGCGUAGUUAAAGGCAGCACACGCGAGGCACCUGCCUGACCUGUGAGUGCUGGCUGUGGCUGGGCUGCUGUCUUCACGGUCGUUGCAUCCGAUGUGCUGUGCGGAGGAAAAGUGACCAGUGCCAAACCUUUCGGGGUAGUGCCCUGACAGCAAGUGAGCUGAGGGCAGGGUGGGAGCGGGGUCUGCUCCGCGUUGGUCUGCUCUGUAGUUCAACAGGGGACUGCAGCCAGCCGGGGCUGCUGCUUGUCUUAGGGGGUCUGAAUCAAUCACGGGCUGGAAGAGUUCUAUGUGAGUGUGACUGCUGGCUGCACUGGAACUAAUGGAAGGCCAGAUAGCUAUAGCUGGAGUCUGCUUGCAGCAGGCAGCUCAGAGAUAUCGGCUUAUUUAUCCAGCAAUGCCUGAAAAAGAAACAAUUAAUUAAGUCCUAAAAACAAAUGGCAAAACUUAAUUUUCUUGGAGCCGAAAGCUGUCAAAGUUUGCUGCUGUUGUGAUACUUUGAAUGAGGAAGCUGGACAACACUGCAUCUUCUCUGAACUUGCCUUGAGUAUCCUUGCUGUGCAGCACUGCAAGAAAUACGCGUGUAGCAGCCCUCACAGCAAUGCGAUAGAAGCUUAUAGACUGUAUUUAACCAGCAGAAUGAAAGGCUUUUAGUCUGCCUGGCAGAUUUUUCCCCCUUGACAUUGCUUCUGCAAGCGAAAUGCAAAGUAAAGAGAGUAGCUGGAUGUUGGAACUUGUGUUGCUUGGUAGUGAACAGAGUUUGUUCUCACAGAAUGUGGUGAGAGAUGCAGUUUUCACUUGAAUUCGAAUGGGCUCCUUGGGAAGGUGAGCGUGUUUCUGGCAGGUGCCUAUUGGAUGGUUUUGCUCUGUGGCCUGCUUUUUCUCUUUUGUUGCACUUGGAUAAUUCUGUGUCAGCAGUCCUGUGAGAUUCUCCUCUGUGCUUUCUCUGAAACUGGAGGAGAAUGAACUGUUAUUGCUUAUUAUUGAUAACUCCAGCUUUAAAGAACCCGGUUUGCUCGGCAGUUCUGUAAUUCACCAAUAAUGUGGCUCUUUAAUUUAUAAGUACUGUCUGAUUCAGAGCCCAUUGGGAUCGGUGGGAAGAUUUCUGUGCUGUUUAGUGCCACCUAACUUUACAUCCUCAGUGCUGAUUUACACCUGAGGGGCACCAGCUGUCACUGGGAAGCCAACGAGUCCACUGUUGCAUUUUUUUGUGACAUUCGGCUCAAAGUGUGAAUCUAAAAUUUUACUUCUGUCCAAUCUUUUGUGGUAUUUUUUAAACUUACCAUCAGUACAACAGAAAUUGUAAUUGAAAAUGAUCUUUUUCUCUUCAAGUUGUAUCAUCGUUCUUCUGGAUGGUGACUUUUUUUCUCCAGUUUCUUGAGGUACUUUUUCAGGAUUUAUUUCCUAAUCUUUCCAAGUUUUUGAAAGGAGAGUUCAAAGUGCUUCAGAUGUUGCUAUGAACUUGAGAGCACUCUUGGUUGUGUUGCUGUUAAUGAUAGGAUCAGUCUCUGGGUUUUUGGUUUCUUUGCUCUCCGUGUCCCUAGAUAAAGGCAGAAUUUUGACUAGUAGGACUGCAUUUUGCAUUGUAAAUAAGCAUAGCACCAAUGUUUUCAGUGUUAAUAAGAUGACAAAGAUCAAUACCUUCAUAGAUAUGAGUCAGGUUCAAACUUCGGAUUAUGACAAGUGAGUCUUGUAGUGUUUUUUAAAAAUGGAAGAGUAGAGUCUUCUAGGAGUGACUUGCUUAUUCCUUGCUCUAGCAGUGCAUGUCUACUCCUGCAGGACUGUUUCUGGAACUGCUGAAGCUUCUGGGAGCUGGAAGUGCGUGUCCCGGUCCUGGGCACUGUUUCCAUGGUGGUACAACUGUGGAGUAAUGUUUAUUAACAAUACUGCAAGUCCAUUUUAUUAGCACAGCUGCUACUUAAAGCACAUCAACAUCUUUAUUGUUAGUGGGUGUAGUGGAAAUGCUAAAUCACAGCUUCAAGCAGUGAUUGAGCACCUGGUGAGAAGGCAGGGCCAAGCCAGGGGAGCUCAGGUGCAUGCAAUGCACCUGAAGUGACUGGAAGGAGUAGAGCCAAGAUCCACCUCUUCCCAGACUUCAUUUAAGGGUUGGUAGUGCAGGCAAGCAUAUCCCCUCUGGAGAUCCUGGCUUACCCAAGGGUCUUAUAGGCCUUCUUAAGCAGUGAGCGGUUUAUUUCUCUUAUUUCUGGGCCUACUGCUAUCACAUAUAACCAGAUUCUCACUCGCUGUGGCUUAAGACUUUGCUGUUCUGCCAUCUUGUUAUGCUUUCUAACAUGUUAUAGGGGGAAGUGCAACAGCACCAGUAACUUCUUGCUUAAUAAAUAUAAUUCCUCUGAUAGCGUCUGAUCUUCUUAUCCAGGAAUAUCUUCCUCAUUAUAAUUUGCCAUUCCAUCAGUCAAACCUUACUGGUGUAUCUCUGCAUUGGGAGUACAAACCAAGAAGUGGUCCCAGGAGAUGCUCUUGCAUAGGGGUGCAGCAGCAGAUGAGGAACGGCUCUGCAUUUUCUCUUGUCUUGGUUUCCCUGGCAUAGGGACCUCCUGGUGGAUGUGCUUGUGAUAGGUGAGCGGUCAACCCCUAAGCUGUCAUGUUGAUAGCGGGUCUCAGUUUCCUAGAGGCAAAGGAAAACUGUUGUGUAGGCCUUUCAUUUUUGGUGAACACUGUAUAUGUGGAAAGAAGGAAGAAGUAGAAUAGAGUAGCUGUCCUUCUGGUAUCAUGAGUUAGUUAAGAAUGUGGAAGCAUAUUGUUUUUACACCUAGCGAACAAAGCUUUGCCUACAGCAUCAGGGUAGCUGCAAAUGACACCAGCAAAACAACCCCCAAACAAAACAGAACAAAAAAUCCCAAAUAUUUUUGCUAAUAGAACGUCUGUCAUCAAAGGAAGUGGUUUAACUGCAUGUAGAAAAAUAUUUUUGCUAGGAGUCUCUUUUCCAUCAGGAGUUGUAGUGUCACUUAACUGACACAGCUUCUGCAGUGCAGAUUGCCCCUCUUUGUUCUGCCUUUGCCUUCAUCCCAGAUUAGCCUGGUAGAGCCGCCCUGCCUGCUUUCAACUGGAAGAGCUGAAACGUGACUGCGCUCUUAGCUGGGGAGACGUUUGUAGUGGAGCAGGAUGAUAGUUACAUGCGUAUGUGUACUUGUAUAUUUUACUGUCCUAGGGGAAAAAAUUAAAGCUGCAACUGUACGGAGUGCGUUUUUGAGGCUGAGGUGUUCUGUAGAAAAUGACGCAUCUGAGUGAACAGCAUUGGUGCUAUGUUCACAUCACCAUUUAAUGCUGUCUAUGUGGUGACUUUAAGCUUAUGAGAUACUUAAUAGUUGUGAAGAAAUUGUGUUGGCCAGUCUUGUGAUUUAAGCUUAGGAGGUUGUCAAAAAGUAUUUGGGGGACAGCGACUAGCACAGUUUGGUAUUCCUGUUUCACCAGUCUGGAAAAUGUAUUUUUUGUGUUGCUGGAGCUGGAAGACUUGACAUAAAUAGCAGUAAUAAGGAGAACUGGUGAUACUAGAUGCAAACACAAUGCCUUCAACAACUCAAAGUAGACUUAAGGAAAAAAAGGUCUCCUUUUUUUCUUUGCUUAAGAAUCUGAAAUGGGUUGGUCACCGUGCUGUGUGUGAGGAGAGAGGGCUGGUUGCUCUGUUUUCCAGGUGGCACCAGGUCAAUUCAGUUACUGCUCUCUCAUACGCUUUAGAGGACUCCAAAGCGCUGCAAUCACAUAGUUUUCUGAGUUUCUGAGACCCAGCCUCCUGGAUUUUAGGUGUAGUACAGAAUACACGUGUUGUUAAGAAAUCAUUGUGGGGAUCAGGAGAAAUGGGCUGUCUUGUACCAUGCAUAGUUAUGGCACAAUAAUUUUUGAAGGCUAUCAGAGAUCUUUGCCUUCCUUCUCAUUGUAAAGAAUUACAAUCUCUUUUUUUUUCCUCAGCUGGUCUUAUGUACUUCUCAAGACACAUUCUUUUCCCCUGGGCCACGGGCUUGAUUUUUAAAUCCCUGCACAUUAUUUAUUGUAUCCAAGUACCUCAAGUUCCAUACAUUUUUUUGGUAGUUGUCAGGCCAUCAUCAAGCAGUCUGUGGACUAGGAUCCCAAGACGCUUGACAGAUGCUUAAUGCCAUCCAGGGAAGAAAGGCUCUACCUCACAGGUCAGUAAUUUCCAACCUAAAGUCUUUCCUUGUCUUGAGGGUCUGGGAAAGGUGACUGGUAAAAACAAGAGGUACACCACUUGCUUUUACAAUUUCUGAAUCAAUCUACAUGUGAAGUGUCCAAAAUUGGAAAAGAUUUUUCACAAAGUUGUUUCUAUAGGGGUCACUCAUCUCUUGUUCUCUGGUAGGCACCCUGUGCUUUAGAAGGCAACUUUGUGACUUAGCUAUGAGUAAAACUCAUUUAGGUGGACAGAUAGUAUCUGACUCAUCUCUUCACUGUUGGGCUGAACCUUGUCCUGUUCCUAGGGUUAGCUUAGAAUGGAGAAAGGAAGAGAAUCUUUGUUUCAGGUGGUAGAUGCUUGAAGCUAGCAAGAAUGUCAUCCUCCUCUAAGCUCUUAUGUGCCAUCUGGACUGAGUGUAAGUUAUCCUUGCUGGGAUCUUGGGAAAGGUGUCAUUUGCAUGAAGUUUUUUGUAUACGGAGCUGGCAUGCUGACAAAACAAUUGACUGUGGCCAGUACAGAGGUUCCCUGCAAAAACUCUGCUGGAAGUCAGGAGUCCUGUUAGCUUUCUUUGCUGCUGUAGAAGUGGCUUGUCUUCUGACAUCUCUUUCUAGUGGAUCCACCAAAGAAAAUAAUUAUCUACAAGUUGUCCUUCAUGUCAUCUGACAGAAGCUGUCAGCACUGUUGGGAUCUCUAUAAAAGAUGGUCUAAUUUGAAUGACAUUUGUCAUUAUAAAGUUGCAGUUCUAAGAGCUGUUGAUACACCAGGCUUGUUCUGUUUUUUUCUCACAUUCUGUAUUUACUACUAUUGCACUCUUCCUUAGAUGAUCCUCAUGGGCUAGAAUAGACCCAUUUUGGAGUUUAACUGAACUGUGCAAAUUGUAGUGAAGAAAGUUCUUUGCAGUUCAACUAGGAAGGUGUGUAGGGGAUGAGACAAAUAAGAUGGAUAUGUUUUUAGAGUCACAGUGGUUUUUUGCUUCUAGAACUGGAUUUAAUCUUGUCUCUGCCACAGAACUCCCUGCUAAUUGGGUCAUGCAGUAAACUUGCACAGGACCUCUGUCAGCUGCCCAGCUUGAAGCAGGGCUGAAGAUUGCAGAUGGGAGAAAUGUGCUAAUUCUGCCCCACGUAGGGGGUUGCUGUGCUAUCAUAUUUUGCUGCGAAAGCUCAAGUUAAGUUCUUGGUGCGUUUGUAUUCCUGGCUUGGUCUGGGGUCUCUGUGUAUAAUGUAGUGAAGAUAUUCUCACACUGUCAGACUGUACAGUUCAAUUAAAAACAAACCCACAGCCCUCGCUUGAGAUGCAGCUGCCAAUGGAAACACGAUUGAAGCAGAUUGAUACAAAAUUUUAAUAUGCAGUUACAGCUUAACUGCAUAAGUAACACUGAAUAGUCACUCAAUAUAGCAAAGGGGGUUGGAAUCUUGGAGAAGACUUGGAUUUCACAACCUUCAUCAUCUGUGCAGACAGAAACUGAUGUAAAGUUGCAAAACUAACCAUGCUUCUGUUGUUUUAGUGUGUUUGACUUGCUAACUCUUAAGCACCAUCUUAAGACAGAACACCUGAGAUAUUCAAACCUAGAUGCUUCAUGCAUUUAAAGAGCCUCUUGGAGUCCUCAAAUGCCUUUGUUAAAAGCUCUUUUGUUGAUGGAUGCAUUUGGCCUGCAGGGUUACAUUUUAGCAGCUUAAGCUGAAAUACUGAAACUAUUAAAUGUGUGAGAUGAAUGGGAACAUAGUAUCUCAGCCUCAGGUGUUACGCUUAAAUUGGGGAGGAGGGGAAGCCUGUUUUGUGUGUUAAGAAAAAAAAAGUUUGCUAGAAUAAUGACAGUUAAAUUUUAACUUAAUUCUCUGUUAGAGUAGUUACGUAGGAAAAACCAAGCACCACUUAAUGGAUCUAAUGUACUACUUCUCUAAACCUAUGUAAGAGAUAAGCACCGAGGAGCUGUUCUGCAGUUACUAGUAAGCUUUGGCACCAAGCUGUUGUGCUGACUGAUUCACUCCUGUGAAUGGGGCUGACAGCUCAGACCUUCUCAGCAGCUCACAGAACUGGUAGUUGAGCUAUUUCCAGAACCGAGAUCUCCAGGUAUUACCUGUUUUGAUUCUCUGAGGAGAAAAGCCUACUGUUAAAGAGGAGUUAGUGCUUCUUACAAUGGACAGACUUGUAGUCAGUCACAUGUUUUUCCUAGCUCUGCCCAAUUCUAUUCUCAUUAGAACAAAUAGCAGUGUUGUAAGAAGCUUAUUUCCUGAAAACGAGUCGUCUUCAGGACAGUAUCACUUCUAUCCAAGAAGGAGCUGGGGAAGACUGGGGAAUCAUCAGAAAUGUAGGAAGUGGUUAAAUAAUCAGCAUCUCUUUAACUGUCAAGGGGCUGAGGCACGAGAAUCUGUCAGCAAAUUAACAAGGUCAGCCCAGAAGGGGUCCAUCCUUCUGUCUCUGUUCAGUAAGGAGGAAAAUGCUAGCGCUCUGUAUCCAGCCUAAUGACUGGCAGGAUUCCCCUACAACUGCAUCAUUUGUACCUCAGCUUCACACUAGCACAUCCAUAGGAUAAGACUUCUUUAAUAUCACUGUUACAGCAGUUGGUAUAAUGUUCACAAUUUCUUUAUUUGAGUAGAGUAUGUACAUAUUUAUCAAGAGAGACAAUUCCACUGUUUUCCAGAAGCAUGUGAGACAGGAAUUUUCUUGGCCAUGUGGUCACGAUGGUUUUGUUGGUUUCCUUCCACAGUUUAUUCUGAUGUCAGAGCACUACCCUUGCGAGUUCAAACAUAACCUGUGAAAUAGCAAACACAUCAUUAAACCAAUGAACAAUUCUUAUCAAUCUUUAAAACAGCUUAGACUGUAAGCCAGAAAAUAACUACAGCUGCAGCUCAAAAGCUACUUGCAAAGAACUGAAGACUAAUCCCCUUAUCCGUUACAUGAAUAAGCUAAUCUCGAUUUUUCAAAUUGAGGUAUAUAAACUGCACUUAUUAUUACAUUCUUCAAUGUGAUAGUGGGGGAAAAAACCCACCACAACCAACCUCUAUGGUGAUGAGUAUUACUAUCAUCCACUCGAGGCGCAGAGCAUGCUUUUCAUUCAGGUGGUUUCGCAUUAGGUCUGUCAACUCCAUGCAGUGCUGAAGCUUUUCAUUCAUUACCUGCAACAGAUUUCAAACACAGGGCAAAGCUGGGUUCUCCACAUUGUGUGAGAUCACUACAGAAACAAUCCAUAAAGGGGCUCACUGCAGAAAGCUGUUAACAUUUCUGUGAAAGUGCAGGAUGCAAAGUCUUGUGAUGUAGCGUGCACAAGCAAUGGGAGUUCUAAUACAACUCUCAGUUCAAAGAGUCAUAAAAAUAAAUACAAAUUUAGAUAUGCAUAUGAAGGUAUUAAACAGCUACUGGGUGACAUUUAGUCACAAAACAGUGCAAGCAAAUAACAUGCAGCUUACGGGAAUGCCUCAAAAGUAACUAAAUAAGUAUGUAAGGUUGCUGUACCACUGGAAGAGGUAUCUCAUGCUUAUUCUGGUAGAGCAGUAAGCAUUACAUUGCCCUGCAAUGGACUGACCUGGAUGAUCAUGUCAUCAGUAAGAAGACUGCUUCACAUCACAUUUUUUUUUAAACUUGUUUUCUUGCACACAUUUCAGAAAAAGAAUUAAAGCUCCUCUUCUUACAACUAUUUAAAGCCUAAGUUAGUGGCUCAGGAAGUACACAAUCCAUUUAAGUCUAGGUGGUUGAGGCAGGGCUGUUAACCUAAACUGGGUAGAAGAUGUGAGUGGGUUACGAAUACAGAAAGGGGGAUGGUGUAUAGGAGCCUAUCGGUCUUUGACUCUUAUAAAAGAAAAACAGACAUCCGUGGAACCUGGCUGAGCCAAUGACAGCUGAAUGGAGUAUGGAAAAUUGUUACAACAGUAAGACACCUACCUUAACUCUGCGAUUAAUGUUGAGAAAUUGGCAUGUUUUGUCAUAAAGCUCUUCCAGUUUUUCUCUGUCCCAGUAGAAGUCAGGUGUUAUUAGCAGGUCUGAACUCAGAUUUAUGCGGUGUCUAAAAAGAAUGGUUACUGCAGUAGUUCAAAGUUCCUUCUGGUGCAUAUAGGAGCAAAUAUUUACAUAGUAAUUAAAAUAAAAAUUACAAAGUUUUUCUUGUUAAGUAAAAUAUAAGAAUCUCAUUCAUAAUAAAAACACACAUGUAGUCACUGUUUAGAACUAGUAAUAUCUCCUGAAACUUUUCCAAGAAUACUGUAAUAUGCACACUUUAUGCAUUAAUUGCUUUUGCCUUACGGCAACAUUACCUCCUUAACUUGUCACUUUCCUUGACUUCUCCUAGCUGUACAGAAGUCCUUCACUAUGCUGGUAGCUCAUUGAAGCUGAUCAAAUAUGUGAAUUAAAGUUAUGGGGGAGGUCCUUAACAGCUUGUUUCUAUUUGAGAACUCUUAAGUGUUACUGGCAGUGCUCACUGGGGAUGGGAGCACAGUUCAGAACCAGGCUACUGUCUCAACAUUAUAAAGGCUAGGAGAUAAAGUCUUCUGUCUCUCAACCUACUGAUCACGUAAAUCUUUGAACUUUUGAUCAUUGUAGCUCAUUUACUGAAAGGUCCUCCAAGCACGGGUAUAAAACUCAAUGUUUAAAAUAGGAACCAUGUUUUCAUUUAUCUCUUUCUUCACUGAUUCUGCAAGGUUUCUAUUAAAAAAAAAAAAAAAAAAAAAAGUCUGUAGUAAUUGCAACUUUUCACUUGAGAGAGAUAAAAUGUAAUCCUGGCAAUGUAGUAUUUGUUUCCAGUGAGUCUAGGGGAAGAACAGAACUUGCAGAUGAUGUCCAAUCACUGAAAAGCUUUUCUAACUUUCAGCCAUAGUUCACAAUUCUGCCAAUCCCUGUGCUUCCUCCCGGUAUCCUUUUGCAUGCUGUAGUACGUACUGUAACUGCAUUCCUGAACCCAGAGAAGGAAAAGGGUGUGGAAUCAGUCCAUUUACAGAAUGCUGCUUAACACAUGUCUACAGUUGAGGUACUGAGCAGUGAGUCAGUGGGAAACAGUCCUCUGACCACCACAACAGCACACACUGCCAUGAGCCAGAAGGUGUCUGAGGGAAUCCCCCCACUACUACACUGUGUUUAGGCCAGACUGAACUGCUCCGAAGCUUCUAGUGUACUUCUGGUGUCUUUGUAUCAUGCACAACUUGAUUUUUAAUUUUUGUAUGAUGAUACCUUCAGUGUAACAAAAAAUGUUACCUUAAUGCAAAAAGUUCUCCGAUUUUCUGCAUGACAUCUGCGUGAGAUAGUUUUACCUUCCUUCUUGAUUUUAGUAUCUGCAAAGUAACAAGUUUUACCUGCCUGAUCAAAUAGCAUAUACUAGUGGUUAAGAAGUCUGAAGUUGUACAGCCUGAAGUAUAUAUAAGUUAAAAUCUAAACACGUAUCAGAUUUAAUAACACUUAAGUUUGGUUUCCAUAGUGCCUUGCUUAUCUAGCUUGAUAAGAGUACUGUCGUUCAGCUAUUCUCCCAGGUAAGAAUCCUGGAACGCUUUCUGUGAAUCGUUUGUUCUCUCUCAAUACUACUGCUAUUUUUAAGGCAUGACAGUGUUCUUUUUACCUUACUGCUGUUUAGCUUUUCUACAAAUGUCCUCCUCACUUAAAACAAUGUAUUACUAUUUAUUCUCUUCAUUAAAAAUAAAUGAGGAUUUAUCUUUUGAACCCUGUGAAUCUUAUUUGUGUAUGCAACAUGAUACAGACUUCUUAUUUUAAUUACAUCUCAAGAGAAAGCGUAGCUUAAGUGUAACUCAUGAACUCUUAAUUAUAUUGAAGUCACAGUGAGGCCAAGCUGCCACACUAUGCUAUGUUUGGUCAGGCUUUUAAAUGCAGUUUUCCCCAUGCUGUGCCCCAGCCCUUUACAGGCUGCCGGUUUCGUGUCCCAGCCCUUUAAAGAUGUUCUGAACUUUCUAUCUUGAUGGAUUUACAAUCAAAUGUGUUAAGUAUCCAGUUGCUUUUUGCUAUAUCCUCGGCUGUAUCUAGACUGAUAGAGAUUUUACAAAGCACAGGAGAAAAUGAGGAGAAAGGUACAAACAAGACCUCACCUCAGGAAUUGACUGGAUAGAUUCCACAAAGUUAUCCAAUAACGACUCCCAAAUAGCCAGUUUUACAGAAAGACAAAGGGCAUUUGAAAAGGCAAAUUUCUGCAGGACGACUUCAUCAGUAUCCAGCUCAGAAUUUAACAAGAUUUCUCCCUUAUGAAGCUUCGAUUGCCCUUCUCCUAUUCUAUAGUUUAUCUCUUCGUUUUCCCAGUGGACCAAUGCAACUUCGUAUGGCUGAAUUUCAUGCUGUUCCAGCACUCGCAUUAUAUUCUUCAUCUAAGAAAAAGACAAUGCACAUAAGUAUAUAUAUAUAUGUAUGUAAUAUAUUUAUUAUGUAUAUAUAAAAAUAUUAUGUAUAUAUAAUGCACAUAAUAUAUUACUACUGUAAUAUAUUAUCACUCUACGAAGAGCUAGCAUGUAAAUACAUCGAUGAAGGCAACUUUCCUGCUUAUUAAUGUUAUUCACAUAAAAAGGAGUAGGUGUGCUAGUAACUUUUUUGUAUCCGAAGAAAGCAGUGAUUACCACAGUCUAUUUUGGAAGCUAUGUGCAAGAAUUUUGUGUCAUUGAACAACUGCAAAGGAUCUGUGAAAAUGUCAUUCAAUGCCUGCAUUUAUAAAACAAAGUAAGGAUUAACCACAGCAGCAGUAAAGACUGACAAUGCCAGAAUUAACUGUCGAUCCAUAAUGCAGCAUGCCAGAUUUCAAGGGUGUAUACACUUGGAUCCUGACAGCCUAGUUGGCAUUGUGGAGUCAUGAUCAAUAUAGUAAUAGUUAUACUGUUAACAAAUGAAGACUCUUUUCCUAAACUACUUCCAGCUCAGAGUAAGAUUUAACGAAGGUUUACAGACCAUAACCGACUGUGUGAAAUUCAUGUGCCUUGUCAUAUGCAUACUUGCAAAGUUCUGCCAUUCAUCUGGAUAACAGGAAAUGAUGUUUCAGUGGCAGCUUUCUUUUAAAGUGAUACAAAAGCUUUCAUUUAUUCCCGGCCCAGCCUAACUUUAUGGAAGGAACUACCUGUCACACAGUACAUUUAAUGAGAAGAGAUCUUUUGGAUUCAUUAAGUGCAAACUCUCGCAAUUAGAGGAGACUGCAUCACAGAAUCACCUUCUAACAAAACUGAUGCACUCCACUUUGAAGCUAGUUUAUUUUAUUUUUUUUUGCCCUCACUACUUCUGGUGGUUGUAUGGGAAUUGCUAAGUCAUGGCCUGAACCAAUGACUGAGCACCUGUUGUAGGGACACAGCCAACCCUGGGAGCACAGGUGGAACCGGGUUUCACCCCUCCCAAAGCCUCAUUUAAGGGUUGGCUGCCACCAGGGAAAGGUCUCUACCUGGAGAUCCCUUUCUCUGGAGUAUUUGGUGAGCCCUAAUCCUUAGGACAGGUAAGCACAUGUUUCUUUCUCUAACUGGAUUGUGACCAUCACCCUUUUUUUGGGGGGGGUAAUUUAGAACUGGUUAUCUGUUAUUAUCUUUCCCUCCAGUGGGGAGGAUAUUGCACAACCUUACUGCUGAGGUAUCUGAAAAAAGUAUUUUACAAUUUCAAAUCCCAGUGACAAUCAGCCUGCGGUUAUUGCUACUUCUGUUAAGUGUCCAUUAGCUUAAUAUAGUUUUUCCUCCCCUAGUGUUGGUUCUGGAAUACUUUCUAAGAGCAGUUUUGUCUGUUCACAGCAAGUCCCUACACACCAUUUUACUGAAUUACUUUCAGUUUCUGUUCAAUAGGCCUUUUUUGCCUUGUUUCAGUUCAUUGAAACUCAUGCAUAAAAAAAUACUGCCCUGUAUUUGAGCAAGGGUUUUGAAAACUAACACUCUGACUAUAGCUUCAAAAUACAGAAAAAGGCAGUUUUCCUCUUUUAUAAAUAAAACUAACAAAAACACCAACUAAAGUUGCUCCUGACAGAAAGAGUUUGUCAAGUUUUCUAUGGUACUUAUGCAUGUAAAAACAUAGGUGAAAAUCAGACUUUUCAGAGGGCAGAGGAGCCCAAUUCAUGAAAAUCAACAGGGUGUAGUCAGCUAGCCUUCAGCAACACCCAUGAGUCAGUAGCACAGUUACUGCCAUAGCACCCUGCAGGGUUUGAAGGGAGGGCAGUGUCUUUGUAGGCUAGCUGAGGUAACCCUCCAAAAUAAGACAGAAAAUCAGGAGCGUUUCAGGUCUGAUACAGAAAAAGCAAACCUGAAUGCAGAAGUAGUUCACAUCUGGCAGCAACUACUCCGUGUUUUCAUUUACAUCAGUGAAAAUCUGUCUAUGAACUGCCCAUCUCAGUAUCACCUGUUUAACGCACCAAUUAGUUUCGCAUACCCUGCCUACACAGAAGAUCGAUGCCUUUAUCUAUCUAGAGCUCACAUUUAUUUAAUCACAGUAAAAAAAGUAUUUUUAAAUAACUAGAAAUAUUUCCCUAAAAAUAAAUAUGCCUGCAGCAUACCCCUCUUAGUGAGCAAAUAAUAUCAAAUUAUCAUAAGGGAUGCAUUACUUCAGUAUUGCUAUUUUUUAGCGAUUAUACCAACCAAUAAAAACCUUCCUUCAGGGAAAAUUGCUCACUGGUAAAAACAUAAAACAAUGUAAAAAGCAACUGUUUCCAAAUCCUGCCCCUUGCGAGUCAUCCAAAUGUAAGUUUUGACUCUAGAGUGAUCCUUUACUUCUCAUUUAUUUUCCUUUGCAUUCAUUUCUUUUAAAUAACCAUUCAUGUGUUGAUUAUUCUGAUUUUCCUUUUUCAGUGUAUAUUGCUGUGGGGGGGGGGGGGGAACUUUCUGUCAAUCUCAUGAGAUUAAGGUUUCAGGUUUUUAGACUUGAGAGAUUUCACCCCCUUUGUAUGUUACACAUCUAUUUGCUCAUUUUGCGCAGAAAGACAGGCUUAAAAGGUCACGUAUAGGUGAUGUAUCAGGAACCCACACACUUGAGGGCAGCAGCAGGCCAGCAGCCGCACUCCUCAUAGAAGAAUCAGUCCUUUUCCUUCCUGGAGAGAUCCAAGUUCUCAGAAAAAAACCAAAGCACAAUGGGCUUUGUGGGACUGACAAGACAUCUGCUGAUGAAGUUUUAACAAAUGGUUUUUUUCUUUACUUACACUUUUUUCAUCCACAUUCCAAAACACAACAGCCCCUUCCCUGUGAAUUCAAGGAAAAACUGAGGUGUAAUUACGUUAUUUUAAAUGUACUUUAAUGCAAUACUCAAAUUGUAUGGUGGCAACUCUUGAUACUGUGAAUUAAGGAAUUUAAUACUAAUGCACAGAGACUAAGCAGUAGUUGCUUUUUAACCAUACUUUAGUGUAAAACAUUAAAAUGUUUGGUUUUUUCUGUGUAAAUAUGAUUUUUUUAAAUUAUAAAUCAUUUAGAUUGGACAGUUAUUCCUUGAGCUUCAUGAGGUGGUACGGAUGCAAUGAUUUAGUAAGCUGCACUGCAUUUGCAGGACUGCUAUUCAUAAAAUAACAUCACAGACAUAGUUUAUAACUUACCUGAAGAAAAAAACCAUGCCAGGAUCAUCUUCUUUUGCAGACUUCUCAGUACCCAUCACCAGAACGUUUGCAGCAUCUAAUUUGAAAUAGAAGAACAAACCAAAGUUCAAAAUGCAGGAUUAUUUAAACUUCGGAAUGCAAUAGCUACAAGCACGAUUUCAGUUCGAAGUCAGUCCUGUAUCUUAUUUUUCUGAUUAAAAAGCUAUAAUAUAAAGCUACACAGCUUCUCUGAAGCAUCACACUUUAGAUAGACUCAGCUAUGAUGUUGAUCUUCACUGGAAACUGUAGUUAAUGAAAUACAGUUGUUCUUAAAGAACAAAAGACUUAAGGAAAAACUCAUGCAGGGCGCAGUAAAUAACCAAGAGCAGAAUAGAGAAGGCAGAAGUGGACACGUAGCAUGGAAUGAUGGAAUUAAGCUCACAGUUGCUGAGUAAUUACCAACAUCUUUCUCUUUUUAAUUUAGCAAGGGACUGAUCUGCACUCAAAUUUUGCUGAUAGUGCUUUGAUAGAAACCUGAAAAGCAUACCCACAAGACAGCAGAAGUUACAUCUGUGUUCUCCUUCGGAUCAAAGCAUGCUUUUCAAACAAAUCUAGUUGCUCUCAUUUACCACACUUUCGAUUUGCAUUGCAGAAGUGUCAGAAUGCACGAACUGUAUCUAUUUUGCAUGAAAUUAAACUGAAAAAUGAAUUCCAGCCACUAACAGGAGUUCAUUACAGACCAGACUCAAGCUACUCUAUGCAGAAUGCCUCCAGUGUGGAUCCUGACUUCUCAAACCAGUCUUUUCUCCUGCAUCCUACAUAUCUGCUUUGCUGUACUACUUUGCUAAUGCGGACAUUGCUGCACUGGGGCCAGGCAGACUAAGGUGACAGGAAGAGAUGUCUAAAUAAGUAUAGGAUGCGCUUCUGCUAAUAACUGAAUUGAGACCGUGCAGAUGACCUGUAUGAACUCCUUAAAGAUUUCUUUCUCUUGCUAUUCCAGUUCAGGAACAACUGAUUUGAUGAAUCACCAGGGCAGGUUCUGGGUGUGAAGCUGGAGUUCACCACAGAAGAAACAUUUGUCUGAACUUGCUUACUUGCCUUUUCAAGUAUUGCCCUUACUUAAUCUUUCUUUAUCCUCUCCAGAUAAAAUAUAUAUGGUGGAUGUCCAUUUGGUCCCUUAUAAGGAGGGCUACAGUAUGAACCUCUAAAAUAUUUUUAAAGUGGUCAAAAAAGAAUGAUAUUAGGAAGGACACUACAAAGCAACGCAUCCAUAUUAAUUGCUAAUUUAGAUUUCUAUGUGUUAGUAUUUUUCAGAUGUAAGAUACAACUUCUGACUGGGUAACUUAGCCUCGUUAGAUCUAUCAUCCCAACCACCACAAAGUUUGCUGUCACAAUCAAACUUUCAUCACUUCCUGAACACUUUUGACAGAGUAUCUAUUGUAAGGAGUCAAAAACACACUGUAAAGAAAUGAAAGAAUUGGCAAAAACCACACUCCCAGGGUAAAAUGCCAGCAACAGCAAUGAAUGCAUCACAGCAAUUUGGAAUAAUUCUAUCCUGAAGCACUAAAAGGAGUGUUCUUUUUAAUACAGUGGAACUAUGAAGGAACAUGGAGCCUAUACUACACAAUGCCUUCUUUCUGAGAAAGACAACCAUUACUCAAGCAAUCUUCAUAAAGAUCCACUGGAGUACUGUCACGCUUGGUAUCUUAAGAGAGGCAGCCAGACACUUGAUAACCUCUUAUGAAAUGUCCAUGAACAAUAUCUUUUGCUUUGCAUAAUCUGUUUAUUCACAAAAAAUAAUAAAUCUACUGCUAACAUAUGAAAAUCACAGCUGUUCUAGGGCUAGAGGGUCUUUAAGCUAUAAAAAGCUCCAUUUGUUUUUCUCUUGUUGUGUGCUUCGCCUAUUUCCAUGCCAUACCUUCCCAAGUCUUCAGAGAUACUUUGUAUAGAUCCGGAACCAAUUACUGCUGAAGGGAACUAUUCAACAGUUACUAGGCUAUAUUUUGCCCAAUAUAAAGUAUCAGCUACAUUCUCUUUACCAGAACUAAAUAUCUAUAUGUGUAUCUUCUACAUUGCAUGUAGUCAGCAAGACUCUCUCUCAUGUGCCUCCAACCCUCAGCAACUUACAUUAAUAGAAAUGUGGGUAUGGAAAGAAGGUGCAACACUUCAAAUUACAAAACUGUUGACAGCUGAAGCACUGUGGUAUCACAUUACUGAAGCACUGAUUAAAAUAAGCCUUCAGAAAAGUUUCAGUUAGUGAAUUUCUAUGAAAGAAGAGUUUCUAUUAGAAAAUUUCAUUUAUGUUUUGAAUGCAUUCCCAAGGCUAUCUGAUUUUUUUUGAUUCUUUUAGUAUAAUAGUAAUUUAGGGAAAAAAUAUUAUAUGGUAACAGCAAUUCACUUUAAUUUGUAUUUUAUUUGAAGCAAAUGGAAUUUUAAAUACAGCUAUAUUUAUACAUUCCAGGGUAUUACCAAAAUGAAAACAUAUGAAGUUAUAAAAAUUAAAUAUCUCACCCAUAUUUCAUUUCCCAAGAUAUAAAACCAUUUUUAAGAUGUUUUAAAAAUCUACCUCUGGGCAAACUUGUUAUUUCAACAUAUCCAUGGGAAGUCAGGUCAUGACACAGAUUACCGAGAUGAUAUUCAUCUGCUGUUGCAAAGGCUGUGCACUGCAUCAGAUUCUGUGCCAAAGGAAUAAAGAAUUGAGUUAGGGAAAGGCUGAAGCAAGACGUACGUAAGACAUGCUCGUGUUUGCCUCAAAGCAAUCACAAGGGUGAUGUUUUUCAUUUAUUCACUCUCUUCUACUAUAUCACUGUUCUGCUGUCCGCUUGGUGUACAAAUACUAAUGUGAUUAGUUACUCUCUGUUAAGUGGGAAGCAAACGUAUCCCUCAUUCAUAGACUGAGAUCCAUCUACAUGCCACAAGUAAGUCAUGUCAACAAGCUUCAUGACAGGGCCACGAACGGAGCCCUUCUUUCCUCAAUGGCAGUGAAAUGCUUUAGCAGUACAAUCACACUUGCUCACCCUUCUCACAGCCUAUGACAUACGUGGCUGACCAGCAAAAUCAAAAGCAAGGCGCCCCAAAUACCAGCCUACAGCUCUCUGAAGAUGCACAGAGUUAAACUAUCCCAGCCUGCUUAGCAAACAUAAGCUCCAGCUGCAAAUACUGCGUUCUGAGCGCUGAGCUCACUGCCCAGGUAACUCCUGGAACCUAAACCAUCACAGCACUGCAGCACAGCAAGUCACAGACCUUCAGUGCCAGCCCAAACGCUGCACGUCAUCAGUAUUCCCCUCCAAGUGAAAUCUCGCGCUGACAGUGCGGUCUCAAUUGAAAUCACAGCUGAGCGGUAUACAACAGCCGGAGUUUGUCUCCGUGUUCCACAAUCUUAUGUACAUAAAAUGCCACACUGAAACAAAUAACUGGCACCAUGCAAGAUGAGGAAAAGUGAUACUGACUCUCAAAAAGAUCAACUCGUGCAUGGAAGAGAAAUCAAACAUCUGUGUAAAAGCUUUCCUGAUGAAUUCAGCAAGGCGUAAUAAACCGGUCUACAAAACCUACUCCCCACUUUAAGUACAUUUCUUUGUUCCGAUACCUCAUAUAUCCCAUUAUAAUGCUUUUCAGUACAGUGUAAUGGAAGAUAUCCAGAAAGCAAUGCUUCUCAGUGCAGAUCAGUCGCUUUCCAGCUUUUUUUGUAGCUAACACAAAGGGGGGAUGUGCCUAACAACAAAUGUACAGAAGAGCUGUACUCAUCUGCAAGUGCUUACACCCACAAUAUGCUCCAACUUAAAAUCCAAAUGAUAUUCUCACGGCACUCAUACGCUGUCAAACUGCAACACCUGAAAAGGUGCUCUGCUCCUUAAGGAGGCCCAGAGGCAGUAAGCUGGAUCAGGGCCCACAUUUAAACUUCUUUCGUUUUCUUAACAUCAACGUUCUGUUGUCAUUCCCAAAGUUUUGGGAAUCACAUUUUCACAUCACUUUCUCUCAGUGACCACUAACAGAGAGCAGUUACAAUACUCAGAGAGCAGUUCUGUAGACGUGUUCCCACGACUGUGCCAGUAACACAGUUAACUGCUGGUAACCGUGGAACAGCACUGUAUUUUCAGCUCCCUUGCUGCAGUACCUUUGAAAAGUUGCAUUCUUACAGUAUCAUCUGUACAAAUCCAUUCCCAGCAUCUGAACUGCCAGUGCAAAUUACACAUUUUAGAUUCUUCUGGAAAGCUCUGGUUCAUGUAAGCACACACACGCUGCCAUGAAAUCCUUCAGGAAGCACACCGUUAUCUUCCAGCUGUAUAUCAUCUGAAAAUCCGUACCCUGCUCUAUACUUUCUGCAGUUAAAGUUGUUAUUGUUCACUUCAAGGUAGAUGCACUACAGGACAGACUGUUUAAUUUACAGCUGUGAUUUUAGUUUCCACGCGAAGACUUUAAUUAGCACCAGAAGUUGGCUGCCAAGAAGAUGUGCCUGAAAUAGCAGUCUGGAUAUGUAGCUUGGCGAUGGUUCUUUUUUUUUUUUCUUUUUAAACAAUGCACUGUUUCACCUUUGCUAAAAUAUUGUUCAGUGAGGGACUUUCAGCAUGGGUGUAGAGUUUAAGACACCUAUAAUUUACGUGUCCACAGGCAUUCUAGAUGCUCAGGCUUCCAUGGUAGUUGAUGGAGAUGUAACACAGAAGUCUCUAGUCAGCUCAUCUGAAAAUACCUGUGUUAACUGGCUGGUAAACCUUCAUCCCACACUGUCUGUUACAUCACCUUCACCUGCAAGCUUGCCUAAAAUAAAGGCAGCUCUGUCCUGCUGACAGCAACUCCAGUCACUUGCCACCUCUCCUUCCUGACUGCACCUGGGUUCAUUAAGAUUCAGUUCAGAGCUCCAAAGCAACCAUCAGAUCAGCCAUUCUAAGUACUCGUUUUCUGUAUCAUCAACCCCACAGCAACUGCACAGGAACUAUCAUUCUCAUAGCUCAUCCCUUGCAUUUUGAGAAUGCAAACAUUUUUAAGUAAGAAAACCUAUAAAAUGAACUUAAACUUCACAUCACCACAGGCAUCCAUCUCUAUCUCAAGGAUAGCUGCUACUGCAUUUUUAACUGAUUUUCAAGCUUUGUCAAGGCAACAGCAUUAAAAAUCAGCUUAAAGGCUUCUCAUGUCUUGUGAGACCUUGUGAGAUGAGUAACUAAUCCGAGUAGUAGUGACAGUAUGCACCAAUGCAUGACUAACCAAAUGAAUGACUAACCAAACCAGUUAUCACGUUAGAGUAACCCCUCCAUCUAUCCUGAAAAGCUGGUCUGAUGAUCAUUUAUUACUGCUGGUGCUCAGCAUUCCAUCUGCAGACAGCAGCUGAAGAUGAGUGCUUAGAAGGAGCCUAUCCAUGGAACGUUCUGCAAAAGGAAGUUGUUAAUGAGCCCAUCAAACAGAAAACAUCAGAGACUUCAGGGUUCACCUAACUGAAAACCCACGUGAGUCUACAGCAUGUCUCCAGGGGCAGACUGUGAAGGAAGACAACAGUCAACUCUAAGCUGCAUUGGAAACAUGGCUUAUGUUACCGGAGGGUUCUUGGUUACUUCAGAACAAGCAGAGAAAGACAAGAUCAGCUUUUUUGUGACACCAGGAUUUAGAGGAAAAUGACAGCAUGGUGAAAAAAACAUACAUCAAGGAUUCUCCAUUUGCUGCACCUGUGUCAGUCACCUUACAGAAAACAGUCUCAUCUUUCAGUUAGCUCCCUACAUUACAAAUCUACAAGGGACUAUACAAAUAGGUUCCAAAAAAAGAAGAAAAAAAGCAGCUUAUUCCAAAAUGCUGUCAGCCUGCACAGGGUCAGGGUGACAGCCUGGCAGUACCCCUGUAGAUGGAGGUGUAUGUUUGACAAAACCACACACUGUUUAUUUAAAAAUAGAGAAUGGUUUGUUAGGUCCUAGUUUACAUCAUUUCUGGCACGCCGUUUUGCAGUGUGGGAUCUUCCCCAGAAAUGAUAUUUCAGUCUAUCAGGCAGAAUGUUUUCAAUUUCUUCAAAAUGGAAGAAAGUAAAAAUAGCAGCGCGUAUUACUUGCAAGCACACACAUGAAACUAUAAAACAAAGAAACUUAGCAUCUCAUACUGCCAUGCAGAAACCUCAGGAAUCUAAAAAAAGUCACUUAAAUCCACCCAACGACAACCUCUGAAUAUGUCAUAGCAUAAACAGAAAGCUUGGAACAGUAUGUGGUACGUUAAGACAGAGUUCUACAUCUUCUUCUUUCAAAGCAACAGGAAAAUUCAAGUGGGAAAUGAAUUUUCUACAAUGGAGCCUUGGUGGUACAUUAUAUCAUACUCCUCUUAGUCAUAUGAGAUAUUAAACAGGAGCUUAUAUGCCUGGAAGGCAAUCAUUAAGACCUCACUUUCUGUGCUCACAUUCAGCAGACCAUGUAAUAGGCAUAUUUUGCAAUAUGCAAUCUAUUUAUAGAAGCACAAUACUUGUCUCAGUCUCAUCUAUAGUACUAUUUUGUUAGCAACACCCUGGAACUCAGUUGUUAUUGUAGUUUGAGGAGAACAAUAACAUUUCUGACUCCACGACUUUCCUUGGAGAUCUUAUAUUCAAGUAUGCUUGCAGUCUGCUUUGGCUACAAGUAGUGGGGCUCGUAAAGACCUAUCUCAGGGAGCAACAGCUACAAGUAUGCACUGUUCCAGUUACUCAUCCUGUAUAUCUGAUUUUAUCCACAAGAGUUUGUUGUGGCAGUUAAUCUGUAGACCCAGGAGUCUGGUGAUCCAGGUGCUAUUUCUACACAUGGAAUAAUCUUGCUCAAGUUACACAGGCUACAUCUGCAGCUCAGUUCUUCUACUGAUAGCACAGAAAUAACUUUCUAUUUUUCUG
rnacentral:lncRNA from 1 species